rnacentral:rRNA from 1 species
AACGCGAAGAACCUUACCUACCCUUGACAUCCUGCGAAGUUGGCUGAGAGGCUGAUGUGCCGAAAGGAACGCAGAGACAGGUGCUGCAUGGCUGUCGUCAGCUCGUGUUGUGAGAUGUUGGGUUAAGUCCCGUAACGAGCGCAACCCUUGUCCUUAGUUACCAGCAUUUAGUUGGGGACUCUAAGGAGACUGCCGGUGAUGAACCGGAGGAAGGCGGGGACGACGUCAAGUCAUCAUGGCCUUUAUGGGUAGGGCUACACACGUGCUACAAUGGGGCGUACAGAGGGUCGCGAACCUGCGAAGGGGAGCCAAUCUCAUAAAGCGUCUCGUAGUCCGGAUUGGAGUCUGCAAUUCGACUCCAUGAAGUUGGAAUCGCUAGUAAUCGCGAAUCAGCAUUGUCGCGGUGAAUACGUUCCCGGGCCUUGUACACACCGUGUCGA